AUAUUUCCAAGGUUGAAAAUUAUUUUUAUCUUAAAAUAAUUAUUUUAUGGCGCAUCGAAUUAUUAUUAUUAUUAUCAUCAAGCAGCAUAUUGCGAAAAGAUAAUCGAAAUAUCCAAGAGGAGGACGGCUGGGUUUGACUGCGGCAACUACACGGUGUGGCGGUGGUACCAGGAAUCGCUGCUGCGGUUCGCACAGCACAAUUGUAUUUUAACCACGGUUGUCGGUCGUUGUCCAACAGCGGCGUUAGUGGCAGCAGCAGGAGCCGUAAUGGUGAAGUUAAUGCAUUAUUCUGAGAAAAUCUAUUUUAAUUGAAUAAUUGAAUCGUCCCAUCUUCCCCUCCAUGGACCAUGACAAAAAAAUCGAAACGCGAGGUCGGAGAGCUUAAUAUAAUCAAAAGAAUUAAUAGAUGCCCAUGUUAAGUAUUGAUACAACGAGACCAAGUAUACAAAAACUUCGGAAAAAUUGCUCUGCAGUGCUAUACGAGUAAAAUAAUUGUAUAGCUGUUGGUAAAAAUCUUGUCUUCUCGGGAUUAGAGAAUGGAACAUGCAACAAAAUUUUCACUACACAGAACAUACCCAAUCAUUUUUGAAGUAUGAAGUCAUCCAG